UAAAAAUUUAAUUUAAAAUAUUUAAGUAGUAUUAGUUAAGUUCUUUAAAUUUAAAAAAUUUGGCGGUAUUUUAGUCUAUUCAGAGGAACCUGUUUUAUAAUCGAUGGUCCACGAUGAACCUUACUUAAAUUUGUUUUAGUUUAUAUAUCGUCGUUAAAAGAAUAUUUUAUAAGAAUAAUAAUUUUCUUAAUUUUUAAUUUUAAAAUAUAUCAGAUCAAGAUGUAGCUUAUGUUUAAGUUUAUAAUGGGUUACAAUUAUUAUAUUAUUGGAAAUUAAUAUGUAAUUUAUUAUUUGAAAUUGGAUUUGAUAGUAAAUUUAUAUAGAU
rnacentral:rRNA from 1 species